UACGUAGGGUGCAAGCGUUAAUCGGAAUUACUGGGCGUAAAGCGUGCGCAGGCGGUUGUGUAAGUCUGAUGUGAAAGCCCCGGGCUCAACCUGGGAACUGCAUUGGAGACUGCACGGCUAGAGUGCGUCAGAGGGGGGUAGAAUUCCGCGUGUAGCAGUGAAAUGCGUAGAGAUGCGGAGGAAUACCGAUGGCGAAGGCAGCCCCCUGGGAUGACACUGACGCUCAUGCACGAAAGCGUGGGGAGCAAACAGG
rnacentral:rRNA from 1 species